GCUCAAUGAUUUUUUAAAUUGCUGUAGUAUUUUGACUAUACAAAGGUAUUGAAAUAAGGUUUUAAUUGAAUGCUAAAAGAAUGGAAUAUCAAAGAAUAACUUUCUUAAAAUUAAAAAUUGAAAUUUUUUUAAUUUGUGUAAAAACAAUUAUAUAAAUUAAAGACAAGAAGACCCUAAGAAUUUUUAAAAUUUAAAUUAACACAUUUUUGUUUUAAUUAAAUUUUAACUGGGGCGGUUAAAAAAUAUUAAAAACUUUUUAAUUUUGAAAAUGACCCAUUAUUAAUGAAAAUAUGAUAAAAUACUCUAGGGAUAACAGCGUUAUAUUUUUUGAUAGAUCAUAUUGACAAAAAAGUUUGCGACCUCGAUGUUGGAUUAGGAUACUUUUUUAAUGAAGAUAUUAAAAUCAGAAGUUUGUUCAACUUUUAAAUUCCUACUUGAUCUGAGUUCAGACCGG
rnacentral:rRNA from 1 species